rnacentral:snRNA from 1 species
AUUAGUUCUCGGCCUUUUGGCUAAGAUCAAAUUUAGCUUCUAUUCUUAUCAAAUUAAACUUCGAUAGGGUCUCGAAUUAAUUGAUUGUUAAUGUUUUUCCUUCAUGAAUACUU